UAGAAAUGCAGCACUGGUACGGAUACGGAUCCGACGCCUCUCGAAGGAUACUUAGGCUCUCCGUACCCUACUAUUACUCAAAACGUCCCCGAAACCCGGAAACCCAACCUCUUGGGAGGAUGGAAGACAUGGCUAAUUUGAGAGGA
rnacentral:ribozyme from 1 species